GAUGAACGCUGGCGGCAGGCUUAACACAUGCAAGUCGAACGCCCCGCAAGGGGAGUGGCAGACGGGUGAGUAACGCGUGGGAACAUACCCUUUCCUGCGGAAUAGCUCUGGGAAACUGGAAUUAAUACCGCAUACGCCCUACGGGGGAAAGAUUUAUCGGGGAAGGAUUGGCCCGCGUUGGAUUAGCUAGUUGGUGGGGUAAAGGCCUACCAAGGCGACGAUCCAUAGCUGGUCUGAGAGGAUGAUCAGCCACAUUGGGACUGAGACACGGCCCAAACUCCUACGGGAGGCAGCAGUGGGGAAUAUUGGACAAUGGGCGCAAGCCUGAUCCAGCCAUGCCGCGUGAGUGAUGAAGGCCUUAGGGUUGUAAAGCUCUUUCACCGAUGAAGAUAAUGACGGUAGUCGGAGAAGAAGCCCCGGCUAACUUCGUGCCAGCCGCCGCCGUAA
rnacentral:rRNA from 1 species